rnacentral:rRNA from 1 species
UACGUAGGGGGCAAGCGUUGUCCGGAAUCAUUGGGCGUAAAGAGCGUGUAGGCGGCUUGGUAAGUCCGCUGUGAAAGUCCAGGGCUCAACCCUGGAAAGCCGGUGGAAACUGUCAAGCUUGAGUCCGGAAGAGGCGAGUGGAAUUCCUGGUGUAGCGGUGAAAUGCGCAGAUAUCAGGAGGAACACCAAUUGCGAAGGCAGCUCGCUGGGACGUUACUGACGCUGAGACGCGAAAGCGUGGGGAGCAAACAGG